AUUUAUAUAGUAUAAUAAUUAUAUUUGAUUUCCAAUCAAAAGAUCUAUCUAUUAGUAUAAAUA
rnacentral:tRNA from 1 species